GACGAACGCUGGCGGCGUGCCUAAUACAUGCCAGUUGAGCGCUGAAGGUUGGUACUUGUACUGACUGGAUGAGCAGCGAACGGGUGAGUAACGCGUGGGGAAUCUGCCUUUGAGCGGGGGACAACAUUUGGAAACGAAUGCUAAUACCGCAUAAAAACUUUAAACACAAGUUUUAAGUUUGAAAGAUGCAAUUGCAUCACUCAAAGAUGAUCCCGCGUUGUAUUAGCUAGUUGGUGAGGUAAAGGCUCACCAAGGCGAUGAUACAUAGCCGACCUGAGAGGGUGGUCGGCCACAAUGGGACCGAGACACGGCCCAAACUCCUACGGGAGGCAGCAGUAGGGAAUCUUCGGCAAUGGACGAAAGUCUGACCGAACAACGCCGCGGGAGUGAAGAAGGUUUUCGGAUCGGAAAACUCUGUUGGUAGAGAAGAACGUUGGUGAGGGUAGAAAGCUCAUCAAGUGACGGUAACUACCCAGAAAGGGACGGCUAACUACGUG
rnacentral:rRNA from 1 species